rnacentral:lncRNA from 1 species
AAAGGGAAGGCAAGGUGAAAGGCAAGGCUACCCGGAGACUGUUAAGAAAGGAUCGUGGCAGAGCUGCAGCCGGACAGCCAGGCCAGAGCAAACAGGCUGGAACAGAGAGUCCUGGGGCCUGUGAGCCACUCUACUGUGCCUGACGCGGAGUCCCAUCAGAUACUGAGGCCAGGGCUUCAGCCAGAUGAACUUGGGCACCACAGAGAGCCCCGGCUCAGACAGACCCACCAGGCUGGGAAGGCAGGCCACCGGUCACAGGCUGCCUUCCCCACACCCAGUGCUGUCCUGUCUCCUAAAGUGACCCAGCAGGAACCCAGAGAGGACUUCCAGCUGAUCUAAUGUCUGGUGUGUGACCUUGGUCGCAGCGAAGCGCUGCCAAGUGUCCCUUCCGCUGUGCCAAGGUGGAUUAAGUCAUUUUAUCAGCAGAAUUCUUCCUUUAAAAGCGUGUUUCCAUUUGGAACUUGUAAAAAGUUCCCUGUCUCGGCAGCUGAAAGCCGUGGUUGUGGCACAGUUAGAGCUACCGACGAUUUUCACGGUAAAUGAAGCCGCAGACUGUCCUCUCGGAGGAAACCGACCCCCGGCACCGCCACCCGAACCCCGGUCCAGCCCCCGGGAGAGCCGCGCAGGGGCGAUGUCGCCACGGCGCGGGGACAGCGAGAGAAGAUGGAGUCAUCUUACUUACGUCUGCGACCACGUACCGUUUAAAAAAAAAAAAAAAAAGAAUAACUAAAACUACAACCGGAAUCCAGACUGCUAGGGAACCUGUACCAUAAAGACCAUCUUUGUUGAGGGCAAAAGUCCUAGACAGGAAGUAUUGCGACCAUCUUUGUUAAAGGCAAGAGCAGGAAGUGCUGUAGCCAUCUUUGUUGAGGGCGCAAGACGUCAGGUUGAAGUUUGUUCCGCCAUGUUUGCUGUGGGAAAAGAGGCACACUCUCCUACAUUAAAAAAGAGAGAGAGUGGUUUAAAAACUCUAAGGCAGUAGUUCUCAAUCUUCCUAAUGCUUUGACCUUGUAAUAUGGUGUCCCCCAACCAUAAAAUUAUUUUUGUUGCUACUUC